GUGGUCUGGAAUCCUUGGGAUAAGAAAGCAAAGGCAAUAUCUGAUUUCGGAGAUGAAGAGUACAAGUACAUGCUGUGUGUGGAGGCUGCAGCUAUCGAAAAACCAAUCGCUCUGAAACCUGGCGAGGAAUGGAGAGGAAGACUGGAGCUUUCUGCUGUUCCUUCAAGUUACUGUAGUGGCCAACUUGAUCCUCAGAAAGUCCUCCACGGCAUCUAAAAAGUUCAUCAUUCUGUUCACUUCACAUGUAUCAGUUGCAGGUAAUUGUUUUAAAUAACCAGUGGAUCUAGGCAAGACAAUCUGCCCUCUCUUUUUCUUGUUUAUUUUCCAUAUUUUGGAUUGGAAGAUAGAUUUUGGAGAAGAGAGUAAAAUGAACAGUAAGUGUUCCUGUGGAUGGCUAUGGCUUCAUGAGUUGAGUGUCUGAAACUUGGUAUAUUUUCCGGCAAAUGGUUAUUUACAGUUUCCAUUUUGUCACCAAUUCAGUGUUUAUCUGAUGAACACUUUAUUUUGAUGGUCUGGUUGUUCAGUGAUAACUUGUGUUUUACUAGUUUUGUUCUCUACAUUCAGAUGAUUUAAAUAAAGAAAAAAGGACCCAUUUUAUAGGGAGUUCCUUUUUGAAA